rnacentral:rRNA from 1 species
UACGUAGGGUGCAAGCGUUAAUCGGAAUUACUGGGCGUAAAGCGUGCGCAGGCGGUUAUGCAAGACAGAUGUGAAAUCCCCGGGCUCAACCUGGGAACUGCCUUUGUGACUGCAUAGCUAGAGUACGGUAGAGGGGGAUGGAAUUCCGCGUGUAGCAGUGAAAUGCGUAGAUAUGCGGAGGAACACCGAUGGCGAAGGCAAUCCCCUGGACCUGUACUGACGCUCAUGCACGAAAGCGUGGGGAGCAAACAGG